rnacentral:rRNA from 1 species
AUUGAACGCUGGCGGCGUGCUUAACACAUGCAAGUCGUGCGGUAACAGGCGUAGCAAUACGUGCUGACGAGCGGCGAACGGGUGCGUAAUACAUGGGAAUCUGCCCUUUAGUGGGGAAUAACCCGGCGAAAGCCGGGCUAAUGCCGCAUAAGAUCUUCGGAUGAAAGCGGGGGAUCGUAAGACCUCGCGCUGAUGGAUGAGCCCAUGUCGGAUUAGCUAGNGGUGAGGUAACGGCUCACCAAGGCGACGAUCCGUAGCUGGUCUGAGAGGACGGCCAGCCACACUGGGACUGAGACACGGCCCAGAC